AGCGCAUCUAUUAGAUUAAAACCAAUCGGGUUUCGGCCCGUUUGUUGGUGACUCUGAAUAACUAUGGCUGAUCGCAUGGUCUAGAACCGGCGACGUGUCUAUCAAGUGUCUGCCUUAUCAACUGUCGAUGGUAGUUUAUGUGCCUACCAUGGUUGUAACGGGUAACGGAGAAUAAGGGUUCGACUCCGGAGAGGGAGCCUGAGAAACGGCUACCACAUCCAAGGAAGGCAGCAGGCGCGCAAAUUACCCACUCUCGGCAUGAGGAGGUAGUGACGAAAAAUAACGAGACCGUUCUCUAUGAGGCCGGUUAUCGGAAUGGGUACAAUUUAAACCCGUUAACGAGGAUCUAUGAGAGGGCAAGUCUGGUGCCAGCAGCCGCGGUAAUUCCAGCUCUCAAAGUGUAUAUCGUCAUUGCUGCGGUUAAAAAGCUCGUAGUUGGAUCUGCGCCUCAGGACCUGGUCCGCCCACUGGGUGAGAACUGGGCUCCUGGGCUAGUUCUGCUGGUUUUCCCUGCGUUGCCUUCAUCGGUAGCGUAGGGUGGCUAGCGAGUUUACUUUGAAAAAAUUAGAGUGCUUCACGCGGGCUUAUGUCUGAAUACUCGUGCAUGGAAUAAUAGAAUAGGAUCUCGGCUCUAUUUUGUUGGUUUUCUGAUCUGAGAUAAUGGUUAAGAGGGACGGACGGGGGCAUUCGUAUCGCUGCGUGAGAGGUGAAAUUCUUGGACCGUAGCGAGACGUCCGACUGCGAAAGCAUUUGCCAAGAAUGUCUUCA
rnacentral:rRNA from 1 species